rnacentral:rRNA from 1 species
AACGAACGCUGGCGGCAGGCCUAACACAUGCAAGUCGAGCGCGCCCUUCGGGGUGAGCGGCGGACGGGUGAGUAACGCGUGGGAACGUGCCCUUCUCUGCGGAAUAGCCUCGGGAAACUGAGAGUAAUACCGCAUACGCCCUUGGGGGGAAAGAUUUAUCGGAGAAGGAUCGGCCCGCGUUGGAUUAGGUAGUUGGUGGGGUAAUGGCCCACCAAGCCGACGAUCCAUAGCUGGUUUGAGAGGAUGAUCAGCCACACUGGGACUGAGACACGGCCCAGACUCCUACGGGAGGCAGCAGUGGGGAAUCUUAGACAAUGGGGGCAACCCUGAUCUAGCCAUGCCGCGUGAGUGAUGAAGGCCUUAGGGUUGUAAAGCUCUUUCAGCUGGGAAGAUAAUGACGGUACCAGCAGAAGAAGCCCCGGCUAACUCCGUG